CCCUUAGAUGUUCUGGGCCGCACGCGCGCUACAAUGGCAGACUCAGCGAGUUACCUCUGUCGAAAGGCACGGGGAAUCUUUACAGUAUCUGCCGUGAUGGGGAUAGACCCUUGUAAUUUUUGGUCUUCAACGAGGAAUUCCUAGUAAACGCAAGUCAUUAACUUGCAUUGAUUACGUCCCUGCCCUUUGUACACACCGCCCGUCGCACCUACCGAUUGAAUGGUCCGGUGAAGUCCUCGGACCCAGUCGAACCUCGAGUUGAACAGGGAAAGUUGACUAAAUCUUACCAUUUAGAGGAAGGUGAAGUCGUAACA
rnacentral:rRNA from 1 species